rnacentral:misc_RNA from 1 species
GUAGGUGAACCUGCGGAAGGAUCAUUAUCGAGUUCGGGGUCCCCUGGGCCCCAUCUCCAACCCUUGUCUAUUCUACCAUGUUGCUUCGGCGGGCCCGUCUUUCACCGGACCGCCGGGGACUCUUGUCCCUGGCCCGUGCCCGUCAGUAGCCCCCCUGAAAUUCUUUUCACGGUGAUGUCUCAGUCCAAAUAUAAUAAUUAAAACUUUCAACAACGGAUCUCUUGGUUCUGGCAUCGAUGAAGAACGCAGC